rnacentral:rRNA from 1 species
UGGGGAAUAUUGGACAAUGGGCGCAAGCCUGAUCCAGCCAUGCCGCGUGAGUGAUGAAGGCCUUAGGGUUGUAAAGCUCUUUCGCCGACGAAGAUAAUGACGGUAGUCGGAGAAGAAGCCCCGGCUAACUUCGUGCCAGCAGCCGCGGUAAUACGAAGGGGGCUAGCGUUGUUCGGAAUCACUGGGCGUAAAGCGCACGUAGGCGGAUUGUUAAGUCAGGGGUGAAAGCCUGGAGCUCAACUCCAGAACUGCCCUUGAUACUGGCAAUCUCGAGUCCGGAAGAGGUAAGUGGAACUGCGAGUGUAGAGGUGAAAUUCGUAGAUAUUCGCAAGAACACCAGUGGCGAAGGCGGCUUACUGGUCCGGUACUGACGCUGAGGUGCGAAAAGCGUGGGGAGCAAAACAGGAUUAGAUACCCUGGUAGUCCACGCCGUAAACGAUGGAGGCUAGCCGUUGGCGAGCAUGCUCGUCAGUGGCGCAGCUAACGCAUUAAGCCUCCCGCCUGGGGAGUACGGUCGCAAGAUUAAAACUUAAAGGAAUUGACGGGGUCAUAGCUGUUUCCU